rnacentral:tRNA from 1 species
GGGAUUUUAGCUGAAUUGGCUUAGCACGGGGCUUUUAACCUCGGGAAGUAGGUUCGAACCCUACAAGUCCCACCA